rnacentral:lncRNA from 1 species
GAAAGGGAGGAAGUUUCUCAGUUUCUGAUUAUGCGCAGAGUUUCCUUGUACUGAGCUUAUGUUCUCCACCCACUACUUAGUAAGUAAAGCUUUAUCCCUGUGAGUACCAGAAAAGUGAUUUGAGUAUUUAUUGAGCAAGGAGAACAAACUGCUUGCUUCAGGCAGGGAGAAAGCUUAUGGAAAUGAUAUUAGACCUUCAGCAAAGUGCACAGCUGCAUUAUACAGAAGCUGAGACUCAAACUGACAGGCAAAUAAGCCAGAUCACGGAAGGGGCCUCUGUGUGGCAGCUCUGAGCUACCAAGUGUUGGACAACUAGGCAAAAAGUGAAAUGGAACAGGGCAGAAAAUAACAUACUAACUUCAGGCAACUGUUGCUUUUUCAUGGUCUGUAACUGUCAACUUCUGUCUCAUAUGAUGCCCAAGUCUUUUGAUGAUGCCACAUGCAGCACUGACUAGAACUGGAGAAUGGAAGAGGUCUCUUGGAAUAAGAUAYUUCAUGAGAUUCAUGAUGAUUCCUGAAGAUGUUCCCAAAGAUGAACUACAAAGC